AGUGAACGCUGGCGGUAGGCCUAACACAUGCAAGUCGAACGGCAGCACAGUAAGAGCUUGCUCUUACGGGUGGCGAGUGGCGGACGGGUGAGGAAUACACCGGAAUCUACUUUUUCGUGGGGGAUAACGUAGGGAAACUUACGCUAAUACCGCAUACGACCUACGGGUGAAAGCAGGGGAUCUUCGGACCUUGCGCGAUUGAAUGAGCCGAUGUCGGAUUAGCUAGUUGGCGGGGUAAAGGCCCACCAAGGCGACGAUCCGUAGCUGGUCUGAGGGGAUGAUCAGCCACACUGGAACUGAGACACGGUCCAGACUCCUACGGGAGGCAGCAGUGGGGAAUAUUGGACAAUGGGCGCAAGCCUGAUCCAGCCAUACCGCGUGGGUGAAGAAGGCCUUCGGGUUGUAAAGCCCUUUUGUUGGGAAAGAAAAGCAGCAGGUUAAUACCCCGCUGUUCUGACGGUACCCAAAGAAUAAGCACCGGCUAACUUCGUG
rnacentral:rRNA from 1 species